rnacentral:rRNA from 1 species
CGUGCCUAACACAUGCAAGUCGUACGAGAAAUCCCGAGCUUGCUUGGGAGAGUAAAGUGGCGCACGGGUGAGUAACGCGUGGGUAACCCACCCUCGAAUCUGGGAUAACUCCGCGAAAGCGGUGCUAAUACCGGAUAAGACCACAUUCCGUUCGCGGAAAGAGGUAAAAGCUGACCUCUCCAUGGAAGUUAGCGUUUGAGGACGGGCCCGCGUCCUAUCAGCUUGUUGGUGGGGUAAUGGCCUACCAAGGCACCGACGGGUAGCUGGUCUGAGAGGAUGAUCAGCCACACUGGAACUGGAACACGGUCCAGACUCCUACGGGAGGCAGCAGUGAGGAAUUUUGCGCAAUGGGGGAAACCCUGACGCAGCAACGCCGCGUGGGUGAAGAAGGCUUUCGGGUCGUAAAGCCCUGUCAGGUGGGAAGAAACUCUUCAGCACUAAUAAUGCUGAAGUCUGACGGUACCACCAGAGGAAGCACCGGCCAACUCCGUG